rnacentral:rRNA from 1 species
ACUGCCUGAUCGAUCACUCUGGUACCAAACGUCACCCUCGUUCGGUGGGGCUUCGGCUUCCCUUCGAGCGUCGGUCCCCUGGCUGGGGCUUUGCCGCAGUUCAGGUCCGACGGGCUUAGCUCCGUUGGUGUUCCCUUUUCGGAGGGACCCAUCGGUUGCUAAGUCGGUAAUUUGUAUCCAACCCAACCCACCCCAAACCACAAAUCACUCUGAAGCUAAUGUGUGAAUGUCACUUCGGUGGCUUCACUCUUUAACUAAAGACAACUCUCAACAACGGAUAUCUUGGCUCCCGUAUCGAUGAAGAACGCAGCGAAAUGCGAUACGUAGUGUGAAUUGCAGAAUUCCGUGAACCAUCGAAUCUUUGAACGCAAAUUGCGCCCGAGGCUUCGGCCGAGGGCAUGUCUGCCUCAGCGUCGGCUUACACCCUCGCUCCCUCUCUCUUGUGGAGUGGGCAGCGGAUCUGACCCUCCCGGCUCCGUUUCUUAGGAAGCGUCCGGGUUGGUUGAAGUGUAGAGGCUUGAGCAUGGACCCCGUCUGUAGGGCAAUGGCUUGGUAGGUAGCAUCGCUACACAACCUGCCGUCGUCCGAGGGGUUUGUGCUGGCGGCCCAGCAGGAAUUCGGUGGAUGGGUUCCCUGUCCCCGAAUGCUUCACUUUUCGACCUGAGCUCAGGCAAGACUACCCGCUGACUUAAAGCCAUAUAAAA